rnacentral:rRNA from 1 species
GACAGAGGGGGCAAGCGUUGUCCGGAGUUACUGGCGUAAGCGCGCGUAGGCGGUACGGUAAGUAAGGUGUGAAAGCCCCAGGCUUAACCUGGGGAGGUCAUCUUCGACUGCCGCACUCGAGACCUGCAGAGGGUGGUGGAAUUGCUGGUGUAGUGGUGAAAGUGCGUAGAGAUCAGCAGGAACACCAAGGGCGGAAGCAGCC